ACCGUGUACGUACAAGCAGUGGGAGCCUCUUAAUGGGGUGACUGCGUACCUUUUGUAUAAUGGGUCAGCGACUUAUAUUCUGUAGCAAGGUUAACCGAAUAGGGGAGCCGAAGGGAAACCGAGUCUUAACUGGGCGUUAAGUUGCAGGGUAUAGACCCGAAACCCGGUGAUCUAGCCAUGGGCAGGUUGAAGGUUGGGUAACACUAACUGGAGGACCGAACCGACUAAUGUUGAAAAAUUAGCGGAUGACUUGUGGCUGGGGGUGAAAGGCCAAUCAAACCGGGAGAUAGCUGGUUCUCCCCGAAAGCUAUUUAGGUAGCGCCUCGUGAAUUCAUCUCCGGGGGUAGAGCACUGUUUCGGCAAGGGGGUCAUCCCGACUUACCAACCCGAUGCAAACUGCGAAUACCGGAGAAUGUUAUCACGGGAGACACACGGCGGGUGCUAACGUCCGUCGUGAAGAGGGAAACAACCCAGACCGCCAGCUAAGGUCCCAAAGUCAUGGUUAAGUGGGAAACGAUGUGGGAAGGCCCAGACAGCCAGGAUGUUGGCUUAGAAGCAGCCAUCAUUUAAAGAAAGCGUAAUAGCUCACUGGUCGAGUCGGCCUGCGCGGAAGAUGUAACGGGGCUAAACCAUG
rnacentral:rRNA from 1 species